rnacentral:rRNA from 1 species
AACGAACGCUGGCGGCAUGCCUAACACAUGCAAGUCGAACGAGACCUUCGGGUCUAGUGGCGCACGGGUGCGUAACGCGUGGGAACCUGCCCUUAGGUUCGGAAUAACUCCCCGAAAGGGGUGCUAAUACCGGAUAAUGUCUUCGGACCAAAGAUUUAUCGCCUUUGGAUGGGCCCGCGUUGGAUUAGCUAGUUGGUAGGGUAAAAGCCUACCAAGGCGACGAUCCAUAGCUGGUCUGAGAGGAUGAUCAGCCACACUGGGACUGAGACACGGCCCAGACCCCUACGGGAGGCAGGAGUGGGGAAUAUUGGAACAUGGGCCAAAGGCUGAUCCAGCAAUGCCGCGUGAGUUAUGAAGGCCUUAGGGUUGUAAAGCUCUUUUACCCGGGAUGAUAAUGACAGUACCGGGAGAAUAAGCUCCGGCUAACUCCGUG